CAAAGUCAAGAUGGGAAAGAUCCGAAUCGAGGGGCAUGCCAAUAUCGAUGACAAGUUACCGUAACAAGAAGGACAAAGUCCUAACAAGAAUGCAAAAUGAUCAAGCAAUUCGUACAAGUGGGCGAUUUAGCGAAAGUUUUGCAAUACUUGAGAUAAUAAUCAUACCAUAAUAUAAGACGAAGAGUAAGGAAACAACCCAUCAAGAUACUUCAAAAUUUCAGAAAAUAAAAUAUUUCAAGUUCAAGUUUAUACCCGAACCUUGGCGUUUUAGCACACAACAGGUUCUACCACAACUCAAGGAGUUCAAUUCAUCUACGCCAUAGACCAACCAAAGUCCACUUCGUCAAACAAUUCCUCUUAGCUUGUAGAAGAGCAUAUACACCUUAAAUACACAAUCAAAUAUCUACUUAAGUUUAAGAGUCUCAGCACAUCGAAACUAAACAUGAAAUCAAUGAAAAUCAGCCCAAACUAUCAAAACAGGAAUUCUGGACAGCACUACCGUCUUGUAUUGUUGUUCAGUUUCGAAGGGGUAAAUGGGAGAAAUAGACUUUAUGACCUCAACAAAGGUUGUAGAUAUAUGUCUUAGGGUCUCAGAAAAUUUCGAAUCACCCCUACAGCAAUUUUGUACAAAACGAUAUGCUCAAAAUACUAACAGCAGUCCAUGUAGGAUUUUCAAAACAAAAUCCCUGUACUUCAUCACCCCUUUUCGACUAGAUAAAGGAAAAACUGGGUUUUAGAGACUGAAUGAAAGUUUUUGGUCUAUGAAAUAGCUUUCCAGAACAUCUUGAAUCACUCAAAACGGAGCUUUACACAAGGAGUUAUGCUAAAAACACUAACAGCAGUCCCAUCCAAAAACGGGUUUGCAAAACAAAAAUCUGGGCAGCAACUCCCUUGAUAUUCCAGCCCACAAAAUAGUUCAUAACAACCACCAAACAGUCCCAAAAUAUUGUCAUAAAACAGCCACAAAAAUCAUAUAAAACAGUCCCAAAAUAUUGUCACAAAAAUCAUACAAAACAGCCCAGUAUACGCUUUGUAUACGAUAUUUUCAUACACUUUAUUCUCCCAAUUUCGAAAACAGCAACUUAUCAACAACAUCAACAAUCAUUAUACAUCAUAACUCAACCAAUUCCACCCAUUUAAUCCAACUAAAACAGCCCCUAAUCCAUAAAUCUCAACAAGGCAAUAAACAAGUUUAUAACGCUAUUUUCUCCGUUCUAAUCCGUUAAAUCUCUAAACAAACUUGUUAAUAAUGAAAAAGGGACCUCAAUCUUACCUUAAGUAUUCAACAACCACGUCAACACUCUCCUUCUUAGCUGAUUUUUGGCUCAAACUGAAGGCAAUGCAACGUACAACACUUUUCUCUUCACGAGCUUCGGAAUUCGGGGCUCCGAUUUUUGAUCAAAAUGGCUUUUCUUUGCCUAGGAGUUCUCUCUCUCUCUAAUAUUUUGGAAGUUCCUAGAUGUAAAAUGAUCAGCCAUUUACUGAAUUUUCCAGAUAUGUUAACAUUAAUGGGCCUCAUGGGUCAAAAUAUACUCAUGGGCCGAAAUGUAAGGGUUGGGUCUCAAGUUGCUGUUCCGCCAGCCCAACUUGCAUCGUCCAUAUCUUCUUAUCCUGAUGUCACAUACAGGCCCACGACUUAUGGUUGGAAAGCUCUUUUGUCUCAUGCGCCAAGAUUUGGAUAGGUUCCUCUUCGUAUGUCAAGUCAGGGCUGACCUCAAUGGAUUCAACGGGAAGAACAUGAGAUGGAUCUGAGCGAUAUCUUUAAAGGUUUCUCCAUGGAAGAAGAUUAUGAGAUUUGGCCAAAAAGGAAAACUUAGUCCUCGAUUUAUUGGACCAUAUGAAGUACUUGAGAGGAUUGGUCCAGUUGCAUAUAAAUUAGCUCUUCCACCGGAGUUGGCACCUACGACGAACAAGGGAAUUGGAGAAUCUAAUGGCUCCAAGCCCAAAGUUUAUACACCACUAAGCCUUAUGCUUAGCGAUAGUUGUUUUCUAUCGUAGGUAAUGUGCGAGAUGAGAUGUGAAGAUGGCCAUUUGGAGUGGACUUUUUGGGAGCCCUUGUGAAGAUCACAUUUGCAUAUGCAUCUAGUUUUUGUAAAAAAAAUUGGGGACUUGUACAUGAUACAUGUGUGACACUUAUGUAUAAAAUUUUGAAGGCUUGUGGAAAACAAGACCAUAUGCUUGUAACUUGAGCUUGGUGACUUGUUUUGCUAUUUUAGGGUGUGCUUUUAACCCAAGUCAUGCCAUGUACUGAGUUUAUAUUUUGUCUUGUAAUUAUGUACAAAGGAUGAUAAUAGUUUUGUGAAAAUCA